rnacentral:rRNA from 1 species
AGACGAAGGUGGCUAGCGUUGUUCGGAAUUACUGGGCUUAAAGGGUAUGUAGGCGGUCCGUCAAGCGUCUUGUGAAAGCCCUCGGCUCAACCGAGGAAUUGCUGGGCGAACUGGCGGACUUGAGGCAGGUAGGGGCGCGUGGAACUCUUGGUGGAGCGGUGGAAUGCGUAGAUAUCAAGAGGAACGCCGGUGGCGAAAGCGGCGCGCUGGGCCUGUCCUGACGCUGAGAUACGAAAGCCAGGGGAGCGAACGGGAUUAGAUACCCCGGUAGUCCUGGCCCUAAACGAUGUCCACUAGGUCGAAGCAGCUUUGACGCUCUUUCGGCCGAAACCAAAGCGUUAAGUGGACCGCCUGGGGAGUACGGUCGCAAGGCUAAA